CCUCUGCUGACGAGUCCCAAGCAGGACGAAGCAGCUGUCCAGUGC
rfam:Echinostoma caproni strain Egypt genome assembly, scaffold: ECPE_scaffold0001543